CAGCAGCCACGGGAAUACGAAGGGGGCUAGCGUUGUUCGGAUUUACUGGGCGUAAAGGGCGCGUAGGCGGGCGAUUAAGUCAGAGGUGAAAUCCCAAGGCUCAACCUUGGAACUGCCUUUGAUACUGGUUGUCUUGAGUCCGGGAGAGGUGAGUGGAACUGCGAGUGUAGAGGUGAAAUUCGUAGAUAUUCGCAAGAACACCAGUGGCGAAGGCGGCUCACUGGCCCGGAACUGACGCUGAGGCGCGAAAGCGUGGGGAGCAAACAGGAUUAGAUACCCCCGUAGUCCCUGUCUCUUAUAC
rnacentral:rRNA from 1 species